GGACUACUGGGGUUUCUAAUCCUGUUUGAUCCCCACGCUUUCGCACAUCAGCGUCAGUUACAGACCAGAAAGUCGCCUUCGCCACUGGUGUUCCUCCAUAUCUCUGCGCAUUUCACCGCUACACAUGGAAUUCCACUUUCCUCUUCUGCACUCAAGUUUUCCAGUUUCCAAUGACCCUCCACGGUUGAGCCGUGGGCUUUCACAUCAGACUUAAAAAACCGCCUACGCGCGCUUUACGCCCAAUAAUUCCGGAUAACGCUUGCCACCUACGUAUUACCGCGGCUGCUGGCAC
rnacentral:ncRNA from 2 species